rnacentral:rRNA from 1 species
UACAUGUGGGGCAAGCGUUGUUCGGAGUUACUGGGCGUAAAGGGUGUGUAGGCGGUUGUUUAAGUUUGGUGUGAAAUCUCCCGGCUCAACUGGGAGGGUGCGCCGAAUACUGAAUGACUUGGAGUGCGGGAGAGGAAAGUGGAAUUCCUGGUGUAGCGGUGAAAUGCGUAGAUAUCAGGAGGAACACCGGUGGUGUAGACGGCUUUCUGGACCGUAACUGACGCUGAGACACGAAAGCGUGGGUAGCAAACAGG